rnacentral:rRNA from 1 species
GACGAACGCUGGCGGCGUGCUUAACACAUGCAAGUCGAACGGAAAGGCCCUGCUUUUGUGGGGUGCUCGAGUGGCGAACGGGUGAGUAACACGUGAGUAACCUGCCCUUGACUUUGGGAUAACUUCAGGGAACUGGGGCUAAUACCGGAUAGGAGCUCCUGCUGCAUGGUGGGGGUUGGAAAGUUUCGGCGGUUGGGGAUGGACUCGCGGCUUAUCAGCUUGUUGGUGGGGUAGUGGCUUACCAAGGCUUUGACGGGUAGCCGGCCUGAGAGGGUGACCGGCCACAUUGGGACUGAGAUACGGCCCAGACUCCUACGGGAGGCAGCAGUGGGGAAUAUUGCACAAUGGGCGGAAGCCUGAUGCAGCAACGCCGCGUGCGGGACGACGGCCUUCGGGUUGUAAACCGCUUUCGCCUGUGACGAAGCGUGAGUGACGGUAAUGGGUAAAGAAGCACCGGCUAACUACGUG